UUGAGGUAAGACCUGCCCAAUGUAAUUAUUAAUGGCCGCGGUAUUCUGACCGUGCGAAGGUAGCAUAAUCAUUAGUCUCUUAAUUAGAGGCUGGUAUGAAUGGUUAAACGAGAAAAUAACUGUCUCUCAUGUAAAAUUUGAAUUUCAUUUUUAAGUGAAAAAGCUUAAAUUUAUCUGAAGGACGAUAAGACCCUAUAGAGCUUUACUUCAACAAAAUACAAACAACCUAGAAAUUAUUACUAUUAUUUUACAGAAGUUACGUUGGGGCGACGACGAGACAACUAAAUAACUCUCUAUUUUUUUAACAAAUAAAACUGACAAAUUGAUCCUUAAAGAAAGAUCAAAUGAACAAGUUACCUUAGGGAUAACAGCGUAAUCCUUUUUAAGAGUUCUCAUCAACAAAAGGGUUUGCGACCUCGAUGUUGGAUUAAGAGUUCACCAAGGUGCAGCAGCUUUGGAAGAUGGUCUGUUCGACCUUUAAUCUCUUACAUGAUCUGAGUUCAG
rnacentral:rRNA from 1 species